UGGGGAAUAUUGGACAAUGGGCGCAAGCCUGAUCCAGCAAUGCCGCGUGUGUGAAGAAGGCCUUCGGGUUGUAAAGCACUUUUAUCAGGAGCGAAACGCUGUCGGCUAAUACCCGGCGGAACUGACGGUACCUGAGGAAUAAGCACCGGCUAACUUCGUGCCAGCAGCCGCGGUAAUACGAAGGGUGCAAGCGUUAAUCGGAAUUACUGGGCGUAAAGCGUGCGUAGGCGGUUUCUUAAGUCUGCUGUGAAAUCCCCGGGCUCAACCUGGGAAUGGCAGUGGAUACUGGGAGGCUAGAGUGUGUCAGAGGGUGGUGGAAUUCCCGGUGUAGCGGUGAAAUGCGUAGAGAUCGGGAGGAACAUCAGUGGCGAAGGCGGCCACCUGGGACAACACUGACGCUGAGGCACGAAAGCGUGGGGAGCAAACA
rnacentral:rRNA from 1 species